rnacentral:rRNA from 1 species
UACGUAGGGUGCAAGCGUUAAUCGGAAUUACUGGGCGUAAAGCGUGCGCAGGCGGUUUUGUAAGUUUGUCGUGAAAUCCCCGGGCUUAACCUGGGAAUGGCAUUUUGAACUGGCAGUCUAGAGUGUGUCAGAGGGGGGUGGAAUUCCACGUGUAGCAGUGAAAUGCGUAGAUAUGUGGAGGAACACCAAUGGCGAAGGCAGCCCCCUGGGAUAACACUGACGCUCAUGUACGAAAGCGUGGGUAGCAAACAGG